UGUUGUUGUAGGACCCCAUCAUCUUUCUGGAAACUUCAAAUUUGAUGUUAGGUCUGGAAGUGAUUCCCUGCAGAAAACUUAUAGAGACUUGAACACAAAAACAUAUAUAGGCAGCUAACUGAAGCCUUUUAUUCUAGAAUUAUUUAGUAUUCUAUAUGACCAUUAAUAUCAUAACAAAAUUUAAAAUGGAUGUAUAUAUAUUUUG